GACGAACGCUGGCGGCGUGCUUAACACAUGCAAGUCGAACGGAAAGGCCCUGCUUUUGUGGGGUGCUCGAGUGGCGAACGGGUGAGUAACACGUGAGUAACCUGCCCUUGACUUUGGGAUAACUUCAGGAAACUGGGGCUAAUACCGGAUAGGAGCUCCUGCUGCAUGGUGGGGGUUGGAAAGUUUCGGCGGCUGGGGAUGGACUCGCGGCUUAUCAGCUUGUUGGUGGGGUAGUGGCUUACCAAGGCUUUGACGGGUAGCCGGCCUGAGAGGGUGACCGGCCACAUUGGGACUGAGGUACGGCCCAGACUCCUACGGGAGGCAGCAGUGGGGAAUAUUGCACAAUGGGCGGAAGCCUGAUGCAGCAACGCCGCGUGCGGGAUGACGGCCUUCGGGUUGUAAACCGCUUUCGCCUGUGACGAAGCGUGAGUGACGGUAAUGGGUAAAGAAGCACCGGCUAACUACGUG
rnacentral:rRNA from 1 species